rnacentral:rRNA from 1 species
AAUAGAUACCCGGGUAGUCCUUGCCUUAAACGAUGUAUACUUGAUGUAGUUGGACUCAACCCCAGCUGUGUCGAAGCUAACGCGAUAAGUAUACCGCCUGGGAAGUACAGUCGCAAGGCUGAAACUCAAAAGAAUUGACGGGGGCCCGCACAAGCAGUGGAGCAUGUGGUUUAAUUCGAUGCAACGCGAAGAACCUUACCUAGACUUGACAUACAGAGGAAAGCUGCAGAAAUGUAGUCCCCCGAAAGGGUCUCUGUACAGGUGCUGCAUGGCUGUCGUCAGCUCGUGCCGUGAGGUGUUGGGUUAAGUCCCGCAACGAGCGCAACCCUUAUCAUUAGUUGCCAACACGAAAGGUGGGAACUCUAAUGAGACUGCCUGGGGUUAGCCAGGAGGAAGGUGAGGAUGACGUCAAGUCAGCAUGGCCCUUAUGUCUAGGGCUACACACGUGCUACAAUGGCCGGUACAGAAGGCAGCGAAGUCGUAAGAUGGAGCAAAUCCCAAAAACCGGUCCCAGUUCAGAUUGU